rnacentral:rRNA from 1 species
CCUACGGGUGGCAGCAGUGAGGAAUAUUGGUCAAUGGACGAGAGUCUGAACCAGCCAAGUAGCGUGAAGGAUGACUGCCCUAUGGGUUGUAAACUUCUUUUAUAUGGGAAUAAAACGUUCCACGUGUGGGAUUUUGUAUGUACCAUAUGAAUAAGGAUCGGCUAACUCCGUGCCAGCAGCCGCGGUAAUACGGAGGAUCCGAGCGUUAUCCGGAUUUAUUGGGUUUAAAGGGAGCGUAGGUGGAUUGUUAAGUCAGUUGUGAAAGUUUGCGGCUCAACCGUAAAAUUGCAGUUGAAACUGGCAGUCUUGAGUACAGUAGAGGUGGGCGGAAUUCGGGGUGUAGCGGUGAAAUGCUUAGAUAUCACGAAGAACUCCGAUUGCGAAGGCAGUUCACUGGACUGCAACUGACACUGAGGCUCGAAAGUGUGGGUAUCAAACAGGAUUAGAUACCCCUGUAGU